UACAGAGGGUGCGAGCGUUGUCCGGAAUCACUGGGCGUAAAGGGCGCGUAGGCGGCUUUUCACGCGUGCGGUGAAAGCUCGGGGCUUAACUCCGAGUCUGCCGUGCGAACUGGGAGGCUUGAGUCUGGUAGAGGUCGAUGGAAUUCCGGGUGUAGCGGUGGAAUGCGUAGAGAUCCGGAAGAACACCGGUGGCGAAGGCGGUCGACUGGGCCAGUACUGACGCUGAGGCGCGACAGCGUGGGGAGCAAACAGG
rnacentral:rRNA from 1 species